UCUACAAUGCAAGCUAAAGUUCUUACAAGAAGCUCAGUGGUGCCAUAAUCCUCUAUGUCUCCCAGGUUCAACCUCUCUGGAAGUGGUUCUUAGCCAGAGGUAAUUGUGCCCACCAGAGCACAUAUGCAACGUGAGGAAACACUUUUGAUUGUCACAACUAGGGGGAGGAGGGCUACUGGUAUCUAGUAGAUAUAAACUUGGAUUCUGCUAACCAUCUUAUGGUGCAUGGGACAGACUCCAGCAGCAAAUAACUUACCAGCUCAAAACAUGAAAGGUGCCGAGACUCACAAACCAUGCUCUUUGGUGACCUUGAGGCUUCCUCCCAAGUGGUAGAAAUUAACUAUUCUUAUUAGAACUACCAUCCAAGAGUGGACAUACAUUGUUUCAUGGAAAUACCACUAAGGGAAUGAGAGUUUGUGAAAAAUGGAUGAGGAAAGAAAUCCAGAUUUAAAGAAAGUAAGAAAGGUCUGAAGGUAAAUGGGAUGGAGGGCAGAGGAGAGCCAAAGACGAGCAAGGACAAGUCUGGGAAGGCCAGCUUUGUCUAGUUCAUAACUACAUCUAAUGUGGGUUCUGGCUGCAAAUGGUGGUUUGGAAGCCUAGAACUGAAGAGGCGCAGAUGAUGACUAAUUAGCAAGGAUACUGCAGAAGAGCAUCCCACUAACCACCUGUGGCUUGGCUAAGCAAUCUAGUAAGAGAUAUCUAUGACAUUUUCAGAGACUUUUAAGUCUCUGUAGGUAAUGCAAUGCCCACUUCAGUCUAACCUCCUGAACCAGCAGCAGAGGCCCACUGGCUGCAGAUCAGUGGCUCAGUCAGCUGAGAGUUAAUGCCUCACACUCUGCAGAUAGAGUGGUGAGGAGGGGAGGAGGCAAAGCAGGAAGAAGCAAGUUAGAUGCAAAGAGCCAGACACUGCCUCUUACCAUAGUCCCUACAUAAACCCUUCUUAAGAAAGCAUCUCUCCCUCCAAAAGAUGAGCAUACUUAUCAAACCAUCAAUUAAGAGGGGGGUGGGGGAAAGAAGGAAAAAAUAAAGGAAAAUCUCCCUUCCUGAAAUGUGCUUUAAGUUUGGGGACUCAGAUUUAAAACUGUAUCCCUGGACUAAGUUCAAAUCUAGCCAAAGAUGAUGUUUCCAUUCAAAAGUUUCAACCUGCUGGAGAAAGAAGUUCUUACUUCAGAAACUCAAAUGCACUGAUUAAAAGUGAGUGCCACAAACACACACUCCAAUAUCAUCAAGAGAGAGUCAGAACCCACACCAGAGUUAACAGGAAACUCGGUGGAGGAGAGUCAGAGUCACCACUGAAACAAAAGCCCUGGCUCUGAAUGCCAGCUCAGCAGGCAGCGCUCGCCUUUUCAAUGGGACUCACUCUUUGAUGUGUGUUUUUUCACGGCAACUUUCAUGUGGUGAUGGAAGAAGCUAAGAGCAAGGUGGUAGCAUUAUGUGAAGACCAAUGCUUUCAAAUGCCCUUUGCCCUUCAACAGCACCAGGCAGACAAAGAAGAACCACAUAGCCCGGAGAAGCCUACCUGUUUUUUAAAGAAUAUCUGUGCUAGCAGAAUCUAAAAGGGUGAGAAGGAGCACGCUCUUCAAUGGCAGAAAAAAAUUUGGUGGGGUCACUUAGAGAGAUAGAUUUGGCUUAAAAUAGGAGUUCACUUGCAGCUUCACUUGGAUCAUAACCCAAAUUAAAAUUAUUUGUGUCCAAUUAGCUUAAAAUAAAAUGUCCCGGUGUGUGGCAA